GGUCAAUUUGGGGUGACCAGGAGAUGCACCACUGAAGUUGGACAAAGCAAUGAUCUGCCCUCAGCAAAAGAGAGGUCAGAUGACGAGGUACUGGCAGACAUGGAAGUCUCUGGCAACUCCAACACGACUAACGGCCCACCACAAAAGAAGAGACUGAAGUGGAACCAAGAAGAAAUCCAGGCAGUGGAGAAAACACUCAUGGACUGUAUUGACUCUGGAAAGGUUCCUGGGAAAGCCCAGUGUAUGAAGUGCAUUGAAACCUCACCAGUAGCCCUCAAGGACAGGACAUGGCAAGGGAUUAAAUUCUAUGUGAAAAAUCGCAUAGAUGCAUUAAAACGAGAGACUUUCAAAAGAAGGUAAGCGUUGACCUUUUUGUUACUGUGAAAGAAAACGGAUCAUUUGUUAGUGCCAUUACCACGCUGUUUGGAGUUUCUGCCCGUUUUGAAGUUUUGAGACAG